UCCAAAUAUUUCCUCUUGAAUGUCUCUUCAAUAAGCUUCAAAAACACUUAAAAACGAGCAGCUAUGGUGGAAAAUAACCUCACAUUCGCGAACAAAACGUCUUUAAAACAUUCUGUCCAGGCCUGACAUUCCUUCUUCGCGAACGCGGUCAACCUCUCAUGAACACGUAGCACCAAAUUACAUUGACCAAUUUUUACUUUAUGCGAAUGACAGUCGCGAAAACAAUGCUUCCACAGCCUUUAACUUCGCGAAUGCAUUCAUUUCCACGCAAACAUGAUGAAUUAUUGACCAUCAGCCCUUAAUCCUUUUCUGCGAUUGCGUACACAUACUCGCGAACAUGAUGAAGUCCCCUCACAAGCCUUCGCGAAUGCGGAAUGGACCCACGCAAACGUGAAGCUCAGAGAACUCAGCCCUUCGCGAACGGGAGCUCCCCUUCGCGAACGUGAAGGCCAAAAUACCUGCAACACCAAAACUGAAAAUCUGCAAUCUCCUAAAGAUAAAAAUGGUCCGAUUGACCACCCGAAACUCACCCGAGACUCCCGGGACCUCAACCAAAGUCACCAACAUAUCCCAUUACAUCAUUCAAACUUGUUCCAAUCAUCAAAAUACCUCAAACAACAUCGAAAUACCUAAAACUCAUCGAAUUCAAGCCUAAGUUUUCUAAAAAGUUGCGAAAUACUCUUUCAAUCAAAACUCGACCAAACCACAUCCGAAUGACCAGAAAUAUUACACACACAUCCCAAAUCUGAUAACAAAGCUACAAAAACUCUCAGAGUUCCAUUUCUACCCUUGAAUCAAAAUCUCACAUAUGAACCGGAAAUCGCCAAAAUACUAACUUCGCCAAUUCAAGCCUAAUUCUAGACCGGACCUCCAAAGCCAAUUCUGAUCAUGCUCCUAAGUCAAAAAUCAUCCAAUGAAGCUAACCAAAUCCUAAAAAUUCUGGUCCGAGCUUAUAUACAAAUAAGUCAACUCUUGGUCAAACUUUUCAACUUCAAAGCUUUCAACUGAAACUGUUUCUUCCUAAUAUAUUCUUAUUUUCCUAAAACCACAAUCAAUGAUUUACAUCAGUCAUAAUACUUUACACGGGGCAAAUCGUUCCCAAGAACUGGCGAUCAAAGUGUAAAAGCUCAAAACAACCGCUCGGGUCGUUACAAACACUUAAGCACUGUGAGCACAUGAUUUUUGCCCUAUAUGAAUUACUCCUAUAAAUUCAAAACAAAAUAAUUUCUUUCGUUGCUUGCAAUUUGUGGAUUUUUGUGGCAUUUUGCAUCAAUUGUCUACAUUUGUUUUUGCACGUUUAUUUAAUUUAAUUAAUGAAAAUACAAAAUAUGUGCA
rnacentral:lncRNA from 1 species